rnacentral:rRNA from 1 species
AAACUGAGGAUAAUACUGGAUAGGCAAUUAUUCCUGCAAUGGGUUUUUGUUUAAAUGUUUUUUCGCCUAAGGAUGGGUCUGCGGCCGAUUAGGUAGUUGGUUAGGUAAUGGCUUACCAAGCCGUUGAUCGGUACGGGUUGUGAGAGCAAGAGCCCGGAGAUGGAACCUGAGACAAGGUUCCAGGCCCUACGGGGUGCAGCAGGCGCGAAACCUCCGCAAUGUGAGAAAUCGCGACGGGGGGAUCCCAAGUGCCAUUCUUAACGGGAUGGCUUUUCAUUAGUGUAAAGAGCUUUUGGAAUAAGGGCUGGGCAAGACCGGUGCCAGCCGCCGCGGUAACACCGGCAGCUCUAGUGGUAGCAGUUUUUAUUGGGCCUAAAGCGUCCGUAGCCGGUUUAAUAAGUCUCUGGUGAAAUCCUGUAGCUUAACUGUGGGAAUUGCUGGAGAUACUAUUAGACUUGAGACCGGGAGAGGUUAGAGGUACUCCCAGGGUAGAGGUGAAAUUCUGUAAUCCUGGGAGGACCGCCUGUUGCGAAGGCGUCUAACUGGAACGGUUCUGACGGUGAGGGACGAAAGUUAGGGGCGCGAACCGGAUUAGAUACCCGGGUAGUCCUAACCGUAAACGAUGCGGACUUGGUGUUGGGGUGGCUUUGAGCUGCUCCAGUGCCGAAGGGAAGCUGUUAAGUCCGCCGCCUGGGAAGUACGGUCGCAAGACUGAAACUUAA